rnacentral:rRNA from 1 species
UACGGAGGGUGCAAACGUUGCUCGGAAUCAUUGGGCGUAAAGCGCACGUAGGCGGGCCGCCAAGUCAGGGGUGAAAUCCCGCAGCUCAACUGCGGAAGUGCCUUUGAUACUGGCGGCCUCGAGGGAGGUAGGGGCAUGCGGAACUUCCGGUGGAGCGGUGAAAUGCGUAGAUAUCGGAAGGAACGCCGGUGGCGAAAGCGGCGUGCUGGACCUCUUCUGACGCUGAGGCGCGAAAGCCAGGGGAGCAAACGGG